GCUGUCAGUCAGCUGGUUAUCUGUUUGCUACCUUGUCACUGCCUCCCUUACAUCGACAAGAUGCUGUCGCGCUCCUCCAAGCCGGUCUCGAGAAACCCUCGCUUCUUGAUCAGCCGAGAUGGGUGAUUGUUGAUAACCGCUCGCGAGCCAUGACGAGCGACGAAUAGCGGUCUUCUUCCGAGCUUCCGCACGACUGCCGACCCCGCCUUCGCCCCGCCCACUCGGGUUUAUUGAUAAGGCCACGUGCCACCCUGUCUGCUCUAGCGGUCCAAUCAGCGCGCGUCAAUCUCCCUCGAGUUUUCCUCUUCCACCCCUCUCGCUUCGGUGCUUCCAGACGUCUGUUGCUGGAAACCCGAUAGAAAGGCGAGUGUGUAGAGGCGGGAGCUCUAGUUACUUGUAUUUUGCUCUUGCACGUUUCUCUCUCUGGAUUUUCUUCCUACACAACGACAAUACCUUCCCGAGUUGUAUAUUCAAUUGGCUUUCUUCGACUCGUGACUCUAUCAGCCUUCUUCCUUUCCAGUGCGGAAAAGAGAGAGGAGAAGAUUAGUCUCCACCUCAAUUAUUCAUUCGUACACGGAGCUAAAAACGGAUUUUUGUAAUAAGUCUUUGGAGUUGGAUCCUCUCGUGAAUUUCUGUACGCCCUCACUGAGUGAUAUCUUCACCAUUUCGCCCUCCAGGACUGAAAUCAUGGCCCUGGAGGCCCCAAUCACCAAAAAACGCCGCUUUGCUGGCGGUGCCGAGGCCAACUCGAAAGGAGACGCAAUCGGAAAA